AUUAAAAGACCAUACCACUGGUAAAAGGCAUAGGGGGUUCCCUAAAACUUGAAACAGAGGAGUUUAAUGAAUGGCUCUCUUUGUUGUCUAGACCCAAGGGAGGGACAAGACAGUGGACUUUAAAGAACAGAUGCACAUGGAGCUGUGACUGUCAUCCACACACUCAGAUAAAUGGUUGGCUCAUUAUUGCAGCUGCUGCUGGCUUUAGGGAGCUGGACAGCUGUUGCCAGGAGAUGGAUUCAAACAGAACAGAGGAAAUGGAAUCCUGUGAUAAUGACUGUGCCUGUAUGUAUGGACACGAUGUUCUUUCUUCUCAUAGCUCAAAAUGUUCUAAAGAUAAAAUCUAAUGAUUUCUUAUAGGAAGACUAGGCUUGGUGGGUACAAGUAAGAAAGCCAAGCAGAGAGAAGGGACUCCCUUUCAGAAAGUGGAAAAAAAAAUAAUUCCAAUGUUAAUCACUAGGAAUGGUUAAAAGUACAUUAAUUGAACGGAAGAGUCUGCAGCUGAAAGAAUGAGUGAAAUUCCUGUAAACCGUCUGGGCCCCAUAAAGGAAAGUAUCUCCGUCAUUGGUGAGGCAGCCAUCGACAUGACCACCAGCAUUGAGAUAAGCACACAUGGCUUCAGCUUCCCCAGCAGCCUGAACCCAGGGGAUUCCUAAGCAUUCGAGCAUAUGGAGGCACUGAAAAAAAAGCAGGUGCAAGAUGUUAAAGAAUGUUUUCACUGCUCAUUUAUUUACUAUUAAACCUAUUUCUGUAUUAC